rnacentral:misc_RNA from 1 species
AAAAUUAUUUUUAAUUUAAAAUAAUUUGAUUUAUUUAUUUCGAGAAAUGUUUUGUUUGUUGUCAUAGAAACGUAGCCAAUCAGCUGUCAAUCUGGUUCCCGAUUUUGUAGUCCUUUAUUUAUAGCACUAAACCAUUCAACCGAGAGCCAGUCGUCUAAAAUAACAGUAUAAAACCGAAAAUCACGUGCAGUCUGUCUCACUUACGCUGUUUCUUUUGACAAGUCACACCGAUAAAUUCUUUAGUUCUGAGUAACAUAAGACUAGUAAUUUAACUGCUAGUAAGAUGCCACGUGGAAGAGUGCGGCAACGAGGAGGCAGGGCACGAGGUAGAGCGCAUGGCAGGGGUAUGCCAAGACCCCAAGACAACGACGCCAACCCGGUACCAGUGGCAAAUCAGCCGGAGAACCGCCCGAAUACACGCGGACAGAAGAGGAGGGCCGAUGACCUUGGUCAGGAGGAUAGAAGCCCACAACGUGGUCCGGCGGCACAGGCGUUAGGGGACGAAGAGUUUGAUGAAGGGGACAACCAGCUCCUGCAAGGAGAAAAAGAUGUAUGGGUUUUAGGGGAUUCAAUCCCUUACUGGGCCGGCAUCCGAGCGACGGACACAGGAAAGGUCAACCUUCGCUUGCCUGACUUAACAAUUGCUUGGUGGGGAGUGAGGGGACUCGGCUGGACCUCUUUCCGCAACUCCAUAGAGACCCAGGUGCUGCUAUCGCCUCCACCCAAGAUUAUCAUCAUACAUUUAGGUGGUAACGAUCUUGCCUCAUUAUCUUUGAUCAAAAUGAGAAGAAGUAUAAAAGGGGAAAUCGAAUACCUCCGUGAGGCUUUUCCCGACACCGUUCUGAUAUGGGUUGACAUUUUACCCAGGCGUGUUUGGAGGGGGGUCACGAACGUAAAGUCGUUGGAGACAAAGCGCAAGCGUAUCAAUAGGUUGGGCCGUAUAGCAACAUGCCGUUCUGGCAGGGGAGAUUUCAUAAGCCCUGACAUAGAUACGGAAACUAACUUUUUUAGGGAUGACGGUGUACACUUAAAUGAUGUGGGGUUGGAGUUUUAUCUAGAUUAUUUGAAGACUGCAAUACAGGAAAACUCUGCUCAAUAAUAAUUUUUUGGGGGAUAAAUUAAAAUUUAUUGUGGCGGAAAAAAUUGUUUAUUGACCGGAAGGUGACCGGGCGCUGUGGUUUAAGCUAAGAAAAUUGAACCAUAUACUUCAUAAUUUUACCUUCGAAACUUCCGGUUACGGGUGUAUCAACUCUCGUCGAUGGCAUUAUUUGCGCUACAGAUGAGACUUGUGCGUCUGUGACUUAAUUGAGUUGACAGUUUCGGGUCCGUAGACUGUUUAAUUACUUUUGUUUUGGGUUAUCUCAGGUCACAAGCUUAGUAACGUGGUAAAAUAAUUGUUAUGGCUCGAAUGUUGCUUCGGGUCAUUAUACUGUGUUGACUCGAAUGUCGCUUCGGGUCCUUAUGCUAGCUUUGACUGUAGACUCAAAUGUCACUUUGGGUCACUUGGUUAUUUUGUUGCCGACUCGAAUGUCGCUUCGGGUCCUUAUGCUAGCUUUGACUGUAGACUCAAAUGUCGCUUUGGGUCUUUGGUUAUUGUUGUUGUUGACUCGAAUGUCGCUUCGGGUCUAUAGGUCUGGCCCUUUGUGUAUUGGUAAGACCUAGUUAAUGUGGUUACCGUUUUAGAUGUAUUUAGCCAAUGGCAUUCCCUAACGCCGAAUGUGUGGUUGUGCAUUUUUAGUUUCCUAAGCUGGUACCUGUUGAGGGUACAUUACAUUGGGGAACUGGGGGUUUACGAUUACACAGUCGGUAGGACUCUUAUGGCUAAAGGUUUUGUGUAUGGAUACAGUUAAUAUCUCAGUGACCUGAGUGUAAAUAUGCAAGUGCGUUUUAUUCAUUUAAAAUUGGUUGCCUUUUAUAUGACACGCCCGGUCUCCUUUCGGUUAACUUCAAUAGUUUGGUAGCGAGCUUUAACGCCUAACAUACCGAACUCAGAGCGGCCAUUUUACCCAACUCAUAUUAAUAAAUGUUUGAGCAUUCAUUUUAAUGUAAACUGUAUUAGAUGAUUGAUUAAAUGUUUGAUUAUUCGCCGCUCAGGCGCUUAAUAAAUAGAGUGAAGACUG